GGGCCGAGGAGACACUUCCGCCCCUCACCAAUAUGGCCGCAGGCUGCGAUUGCGCAUGAGCAGCUGUCUAUGGCGAGCCCUAGCUCCAAAGAGGGAGAACGCUGCCGGGGGAAAUUGGCGACUAAAGCGGCCUGGGUCGGAUUUAGCACUCAGGCUUUUGAGUCAGGAGAUACGAAGACUUCCAAAAAAAGACCAGUUCCUCGGAUGAGCCCCCUCACAGAGAGAUGAAGGGGCAGCAGAAGACAGCUGAAGCCGAAGAGGGAACAGUGCAGAUCCAGGAAGGUGCAGUGGCUACUGGAGAGGACCCAACUAGUGUAGCCAUCGCCAGCAUCCAGUCAGCUGCUACUUUCCCCGACCCCAACGUCAAGUACGUCUUCCGAACUGAGAAUGGGGGCCAGGUGAUGUACAGGGUGAUCCAGGUGUCUGAGGGGCAGCUGGAUGGCCAGACAGAGGGCACCGGCGCCAUCAGUGGCUACCCCGCCACUCAGUCUAUGACCCAGGCAGUGAUCCAGGGUGCUUUCACCAGUGACGAUGCAGUUGACGCGGAGGGGACAGCGGCUGAAACACAUUAUACUUACUUCCCCAGCACCGCAGUGGGAGAUGGGUCAGGGGGUACCACAUCUGGAAGCACAACUGCUGUUGUUACCACCCAGGGCUCAGAGGCACUGCUGGGGCAGGCCACGCCUCCCAGUACCGGUCAGUUCUUUGUGAUGAUGUCACCACAAGAAGUAUUGCAGGGAGGGAGCCAGCGUUCCAUUGCCCCCAGGACCCACCCUUAUUCCCCUCUGGUUUUGCUUGUUUGUCUUUUCCUUGGUCUGAUCACCCUGGACUCUACUGUCAGGAAGUCAGAGGCUCCCAGGACAACUCGAGAUGAGAAACGCCGGGCUCAACAUAAUGAAGUGGAGCGGCGCCGACGGGACAAGAUCAACAACUGGAUUGUGCAGCUGUCCAAAAUCAUCCCAGACUGCUCCAUGGAGAGCACCAAGUCUGGCCAGAGUAAAGGUGGAAUCCUAUCCAAAGCCUGUGAUUAUAUCCAGGAGCUGCGGCAGAGCAACCACCGGUUGUCUGAAGAACUGCAGGGGUUGGAUCAGCUGCAGCUAGACAAUGAUGUGCUUCGACAACAGGUCAGACAAAUGCCAGGACAGGCCCCCUCCGCCACCCUGUAGCCACUGACCCAGUUUGGAUUACCUAGAAAACACUUCACAUUGUCCUACUCAGCACUGGGUGGAAGAUCUUAAAAACAAGAACCUGCUACUACGAGCUCAGUUACGGCACCAUGGCUUAGAGGUCGUCAUCAAGAAUGACAGCAACUAACUAUGGGGGUUCGGGGGGCUUUGGGCCCUAGAACUGCAGAUAGCCUGGGAGCAACAGGCUAAUCCCAUGCCCCUUUCCUUCACUGCCCACGUCUGGCAUGGGACCGGGGCAGUUUGGCAAGCGUGACUUUGAACUGAGGCCCUGUGGUGUGUCGGUCUGCAGUGAGUGGUGUGAAACACAAAGUGGACGUUGUACUGACCGCCUUGCCCGCCCGCCCGCUCCCACCGUGUAGUCCCCGGGUCCUUGUGCUCCUUUUACACACUGCAUGUGCUGUACCCGUGGACACUGGACACACCGAAUCUGGGCUUGCCGUGUGCUUGCUUAGAGUGCCCAGCAGAGGGUCUGUGCACACUCUCUGGGUCCAGCACUUCCACUGGCUCUUCCUUUCCUGGAGCAGAAGUUAAGAUGCGCACCUGAUUACUCUGGGGAGCAGGCUUAUUCAGGAAGUGGGGAAGGAGGCAAGGUGGCUGCUCUCCCGUGAAUAGUAGAGGGGCCAGUGAGCAGCUGGGCCUCUGCAGAAGUCUCUGAAGCCAGGGAGGAAGAGAGGCAGGGGCUCACUGAGAGCCAGCCCCUUCUGGGGAUGGUUCUUUUUAUUUCUUUUCUUUUUCUUUUCUUUUCUUUUUUUUUUUUUAAAGAUAAAAUUGUUUAGACCCACA